rnacentral:rRNA from 1 species
UACGUAGGGUGCGAGCGUUAAUCGGAAUUACUGGGCGUAAAGCGUGCGCAGGCGGUUUUGUAAGCCAGAUGUGAAAGCCCCGGGCUUAACCUGGGAAUGGCAUUUGGGACUGCAAGGCUUGAGUGCGGCAGAGGAGGCUGGAAUUCCUGGUGUAGCAGUGAAAUGCGUAGAUAUCAGGAGGAAUACCGAUAGCGAAGGCAGCUUACUGGGCUGUAACUGACGCUGAUGCACGAAAGUGUGGGGAUCAAACAGGA